CGCAUUUGCAACCCUAUGUAACUGAUGUUUUAGAAUUUCAACCAAAUCAGAACAUUUUUAUUCAUGGUAUGAAUAAUAAGUCCUUGUUGGGAUCUUCUGAAUUCGUUUCUAGUGUUUUAGCUAUUAGAUUGAACGCUCAGUUCAUGUAAGAAUUUACGACAAGGCUGUUGAGCAAGGUCGUAUGGUAAAGACAAGGCCAAUCUAAUGGCAAGGUCGUAUGCUGAUGACAAGGCCAAAUUAAAUAGGCAAGGUCUCACCUGACAUGGCCAGUGUGAAAAAUAAAUAUGGCAAGGUCAUUUAAAUAUAUUGUAAGCUAGUAGUAGUAUAGUAGAUUAUAUUUCUAUUUGAUAUGCACGUUUUUCAGAUAUUUUUUCAUGUGGAGUCUGGAAAUCCUUGCCUAAGCCAGUUGACCAAGAUUUAUCAUCUUUAUCUAACUGCCUACCUGAGUUCUGUCUCCAUUCGAAAGCCGAGAAUACCAAAAGAAAAUACUCUUAUGCAUUUAACAAUUUCUAUAGUUUUUGAUUGUGUUACUGUAUAUUCUAUUAUAUGAUUGGAUUGGUAGUGUGCUUGUCUGAAUUAUAGUGAAGGACUUUAGUUUGAAGAAUUGUGAAUGUAAAUAAUAUUAAAGGCUGCUACACCUGUAGGCACACUUAUCCU